rnacentral:misc_RNA from 1 species
CCGAGUACCGGUGCCCUUUGGGUGCCUACUCCCACCAUGUGUGAACCUUUUUUGUUGCUUUGGCGGGCCGGUAGUUCUGCCCUCUGGCCUCGGCUGGAGAGCGCCCGCCAGAGGAUCUUUCAAACCCGUCUCAACGUGGAAUCUGAGUCCAGUCUUAAAAAGUCA